rnacentral:rRNA from 1 species
GGUGAGUAACACGUAAGCAACCUGCCUAUCAGAGGGGAACAACAGUUAGAAAUGACUGCUAAUACCGCAUAUGCCUUAGAAUCACAUGGUUCAAAAGGGAAAGGAGCAAUCCGCUGAUAGAUGGGCUUGCGUCUGAUUAGCUAGUUGGUGGGGUAAUGGCCUACCAAGGCAACGAUCAGUAGCCGAACUGAGAGGUUGAACGGCCACAUUGGGACUGAGAUACGGCCCAGACUCCUACGGGAGGCAGCAGUCGGGAAUAUUGCGCAAUGGAGGAAACUCUGACGCAGUGACGCCGCGUGCAGGAAGAAGGAUUUCGGAUUGUAAACUGCUUUAGACGGGGAAGAACAAAGACAGCACCUGUAGAAUAAGCUCCGG